rnacentral:lncRNA from 7 species
AUCCAUAUGUACAACAAUUUAUCAGUGUCUCCGAAUGCACAUCGGUGGUUUCUCUAGUGACGAUGAUACCCUCGAUGUUAUCAUUGUAUUUGUCAUCAACCAGUGUUAGAAAGCAAUUACCAUUGGUUCAAAAAUCCCUCUCCCUUUAUCAUACGACACACAUGUCACUGGCUCGAUCUCUGGUUCCAUUCGACUUUCUUUACAAAAUAAAAUAA